rnacentral:rRNA from 1 species
AACUUUUGACAAUGGAUCUCUUGGUUCUCGCAACGAUAAAGAACACAGCAAAAAAUGCGAUAAAUAAUGUGAAUUGCAGAAUAUGUGAAUCAUCAAAUCUUAGAACGAAUAUUGCACUUUUUUAGUUUACUAAAAAAGUGUAAAGAGUUC